rnacentral:rRNA from 1 species
UUUAUGAGUUUGACUCUGGCUCUGGAUGAACGCGAGCAACGUGUUUUGACACAUGCGAGUAAUAUUUUAUCUAUUAAGAUAUUGCGAACGGGUGAGUAAUAUUGGGUGUUUUUUUUUCAUUUUUGUGCGUAACUGCGCUUAACCAACUUGGUCGAAAAAUGAAUAUCUUCUUGGAUUAAACGUUAGUUCUUACUAGUUGAUUAUUCCUAGUUAGGUUGAGAGAUUAUCUAAUCACAUAGGGACUGAAAAGGGCCCUACCAUCGGCAGCAGUGGAGAGUAUUGGUCAAUGAGGUUUUUACCUUGAACCAGCGCUUUGCGGGGGUGAAUGUUUUUUAAACAUAGACGGCUAUGGUAGCUGUAAAACCUAUGCGCGAGUUAAAAUAAUGAUUGUACUCGAGGAGAACUCCGGGCCAACAACGUGCCAGCAGCUGCGGUAAGACGUUGACGGAGAAGCGUUAUCCGUCGUGAUUGGGUGUAAAAACAGCUAGGCUGCUAAGUUAUUCGUUCCAGAAAGAAACUUCUUUAAGGUUUGUAGAACGCUUAGCUUAUGCUUGGGUUAGUUGGACGUUUGUAGAAUCGUAAGUGGAGCGGUAAAAUGCUUAGAUAAUUGCGGAAUUUCCGAAAUGUGGCAAGGCGACCUGCGACAACUAACCGACGCUGAACUGUUAAAGUAUAAGUAUCAAAGAGGAUUGGAGACCCUCGUAGUUUAUACCCUGAAUAAUGAAUGUCAAUUUUUAAAGUUAGCUAACGCAUGAACAUUCUGCCUGAAGAGUAAGGCCGCAAGGGCUAAAUUUAAAGAGAUUGGCGGGAGUUUAGAUAAAUGGUGGAAUAUGUGGUUUAAUUCGAUAAUCCGCGGGAAACCUUACCAGUGUACGGCGCCAAAUUAAGAUAACUAUGUGUCUAGUCUUAUCGAUAUUUGUUUCGUUUAGGUACUGCAUGGCUGUCAUCAGUUCGUAAUGUAGGUAUAUUUCGAACACAAUCUUUAAUAACUACUAGGUAGGUCAUAUUUACUGUGUGGUUUGAAACAUUGCAACCACCGGUUCUAUUUAUUGUAGUUUUUUCGUUUAUUUUUUAAGUGAAUUGGGAGGAGAAGUCAAGUCAUUAUGGUCUUAAUAUGCUGGGCUACACACGUAUUACAGGGCUAAAGACAAUGAAUUUCGCCUUAAAGCGGUUAUUUUCUAAAAAUUAGCUCGGUUCGAAUCGUUCUUUGAAAUUGAGGAACGUGAAGUAGGAAUCAUUAGUAAUCGCAAAUAAGAUCGCUGCGAUGAAUCUUUAUAUACUUUGCACACACCGCCCAUCAUAUUCGAAGAGUUGUCGCGGUUUAAAGAUUUACGCUCGUCUCUUUACGCGAAGUGUAUUGUAGAUUAGUUUAUCUAAAAACGUGGUGGCGAUUUGGAUGAAGUUGAAACAAGGUAAUGGUAGGGGAACCUGUUGUUGGA